CCUACGGGUGGCUGCAGUGGGGAAUUUUGGACAAUGGGGGCAACCCUGAUCCAGCCAUUCCGCGUGAGUGAAGAAGGCCUUCGGGUUGUAAAGCUCUUUCGCAAGGGAAGAAAACUUACUCAAUAACACUGGGUGAGGCUGACGGUACCUUGAUAAGAAGCACCGGCUAACUACGUGCCAGCAGCCGCGGUAAUACGUAGCGUGCGAGCGUUGAGCGGAAUUACCGCGGGUGAAUCGGGCGCAGAGAUGUGAAAUCCCCGGGCUCAACCUGGGAACUGCGUUUGAAACUACAAGGCUAGAGUAUGGCAGAGGGGGGUAGAAUUCCACGUGUAGCAGUGAAAUGCGUAGAGAUGUGGAGGAAUACCAAUGGCGAAGGCAGCCCCCUGGGUCAAUACUGACGCUCAUGCACGAAAGCGUGGGGAGCAAACAGGAUUAGAUACCCUAGUAGUC
rnacentral:rRNA from 1 species